UCAAGAAUGAACUGACAUGUUAAUAGAUCUAGAGUUUUGACAAAGGUACCCCAUGAGUUUCUGGAAAUGCUGUCAUUUCUAGUUACUUGGUUUCCUAUUCCUGGACCUUUCCUUCCCAAUCUUACCCAAACAAGAAUACAAGUAUACUUAAAAGACCUAUUGAUGGUAUUGUAUUCUUUCUUCCUAACAGCACUCCAACACUUUCAUCAGAGGAACUACUGACCGUGCUAAGCUCCACCUCCAAAAAUCUGAGUAUCUGCUUAUUACUACCUACCAAACAAGUGAACACAAGGAUUUUGCACGUACGAUCAAAGAAAAUGUUAUAAAUGAGAAUCAAAUGCAAUAUUUACAGUGUCAGAAGCUAUUUUUUAAUAAUGUUCCAUUUAAAGAGCAAAACUAUCAAAGAAGAGGAAGAGGAAGUGGAGGAAGAAGAGAGAAAAGAGAAAGAGGAAGGAGGAAGGAGAGGAAGAAGAGAAGGAGGAAGAGGACAAAGAAAAAGAAGUAGAUGAAUCUAAACUUAAUGAACUCAGAGAAGAAAUGGAAACUAAUGAAAUUAAAAGUUGGUGGGAGGUGCCUAUAUCACUUCAAGGGUAACA